ACCCUGACCAGUGGUAAGAUAAGC
rnacentral:miRNA from 1 species